rnacentral:rRNA from 1 species
UACGUAGGGUGCAAGCGUUGUCCGGAAUUAUUGGGCGUAAAGGGCGCGUAGGCGGUUUGUACAGUCAGGUGUGAAAUUCCCGGGCUCAACCUGGGGGCUGCACUUGAUACGUAGGAACUUGAGUGGGGAAGAGGGUCGUGGAAUUCCCAGUGUAGAGGUGAAAUUCGUAGAUAUUGGGAAGAACACCGGUGGCGAAGGCGGCGACCUGGUCCUUGACUGACGCUGAGGCGCGAAAGCGUGGGGAGCAAACAGG